CCUACGGGUGGCUGCAGUGGGGAAUUUUGGACAAUGGGCGCAAGCCUGAUCCAGCCAUGCCGCGUGUCUGAAGAAGGCCUUCGGGUUGUAAAGGACUUUUGUCCGGGAGCAAAUACCCAGUGCUAAUAACGCUGGGGGCUGAGAGUACCGGAAGAAUAAGCACCGGCUAACUACGUGCCAGCAGCCGCGGUAAUACGUAGGGUGCAAGCGUUAAUCGGAAUUACUGGGCGUAAAGCGUGCGCAGGCGGUCUUGUAAGCCAGAUGUGAAAGCCCCG
rnacentral:rRNA from 1 species